UACGGGGGGGGGCAAGCGUUGUUCGGAAUUACUGGGCGUAAAGGACUCGUAGGCGGCCAACUAAGUCAGACGUGAAAUCCCUCGGCUUAACCGGGGAACUGCGUCUGAUACUGGAUGGCUUGAGAUUGGGAGAGGGAUGCGGAAUUCCAGGUGUAGCGGUGAAAUGCGUAGAUAUCUGGAGGAACACCGGUGGCGAAGGCGACAUCCUGGACCAACACUGACGCUGAGGAGCGAAAGCCAGGGGAGCAAACGGG
rnacentral:rRNA from 1 species